AUAGAAAGCCGACAUAGUGAAUUUGGUGGCAGUUUAUACCAUUUUAUAACUUCAAGAAUAUCAGAAGAGGUAGCUUUUUGUCCUUAAAGAACAGCCGUUGCUAAAAUGUCAAUUUCUGAACAGUAGGUAAAACUGUAAUUAAUUCACUACAGCUGAAGCUUUGACGUGGGCAAUCAGUCAUCUUUACAAUUAAUUUUAUUAAAAAUUUUAACGACAUUUCUCCAAGAGUUUGUAAUUGUGCUACCUCAAUUGCAGGCACUGAGAGUAAAAAAAUGGGACGACUAGUUCCGUUGAGGGCAUUUGACAU